ensembl:lncRNA
GUUUAUUAUAUCUCUCUCUCUCUGUCUGGUCAGUUUAUUAUAUCUCUCUGUCUGGUCAGUUUAUUAUAUCUCUCUGUCUGGUCAGUUUAUUAUAUCUCUCUCUCUCUGUCUGGUCAGUUUAUUAUAUCUCUCUCUCUCUCUGUCUGGUCAGUUUAUUAUAUCUCUCUCUCUGUCUGGUCAGUUUAUUAUAUCUCUCUCUCUGUCUGGUCAGUUUAUUAUAUCUCUCUCUCUGUCUGGUCAGUUUAUUAUAUCUCUCUGUCUCUCUCUCUUUUAUUAUAUCUCUCUCUCUCUGUCUGGUCAGUUUAUUAUAUCUCUCUCUCUCUGUCUGGUCAGUUUAUUAUAUUGUCUGGUCAGUUUAUUAUAUCUCUCUCUGU